rnacentral:rRNA from 1 species
CGCAAGGCUAAAACUCAAAGGAAUUGACGGGGGCCCGCACAAGCGGCGGAGCAUGCGGAUUAAUUCGAUGCAACGCGAAGAACCUUACCAAGGCUUGACAUAUACCGGAAACAUCUAGAGAUAGGUGCCCCGCAAGGUCGGUAUACAGGUGGUGCAUGGUUGUCGUCAGCUCGUGUCGUGAGAUGUUGGGUUAAGUCCCGCAACGAGCGCAACCCUCGUUNUAUGUUGCCAGCACGUAAUGGUGGGGACUCAUAGGAGACUGCCGGGGUCAACUCGGAGGAAGGUGGGGAUGACGUCAAAUCAUCAUGCCCCUUAUGUCUUGGGCUUCACGCAUGCUACAAUGGCCGGUACAAAGGG